rnacentral:rRNA from 1 species
UACGUAGGGGGCUAGCGUUAUCCGGAAUUACUGGGCGUAAAGGGUGCGUAGGUGGUUUCUUAAGUCAGAGGUGAAAGGCUACGGCGUCAACCCGUAGUAAGCCUUUGAAACUGGGAAACUUGAGUGCAGGAGAGGAGAGUGGAAUUCCUAGUGUAGCGGUGAAAUGCGUAGAUAUUAGGAGGAACACCAGUUGCGAAGGCGGCUCUCUGGACUGUAACUGACACUGAGGCACGAAAGCGUGGGGAGCAAACAGGG